AUAUUUAGUUAGAGAAAAAAAUUAAAAAAAUUAUAUAUGACUUGCGAUAUAAGAAUAAAGAGUAGAACUUUUAAUGUAAUAAUUGAGAUGUUAAUAUUUCACAGUAAAAUUAUGCCGAAAAAAAAAAGAAAAAAUAAAAAGCAAUCCACGUCGUCCUUUUGCGGCGCAGGCCUCCUCGAGAAACCCUGGCUAUAAAAGCUAACAUUUCAGUAUCUAUGUCGACCGAAAAGAAGUUGGCCUUCAUGGUUGUAUGGUUUACUGGUCCGCCGGCAGAGUCUUAGCUGAGAACUGCUUGGUCUUGAAAGAUUUGUUUUCGGUAAUUUUAUUUCUUUCCUGGUUCUCUUUGUCACAGUUAUUGGACAUACCAUGAGAGACUGCUCCGGUGAUGAUUUUAUCAGAUGCCUUUAUAUCGUUCCAAUUUCUGAAAGCUUUAUCAAAGUUAAAGCUUUACCGUGUGGAACUGAAGGGACAACUGAGGAGCUGUAAAAGACCAUAAAUAUAUUAGCAUAGUUUAUGAUUCCAUUGUUGUGAAAAAUAUAUUGCUAACUCUAUGAGUGUGGUUCUGUGGUUGUAGAGAGUUUCGUGCUAAUUUUUUUCAAUUUAAGUAGCUUUUUGGUUGUUGCGGUUCAGUGGUUGUAGAGAGUUUCGUGCUAAUUUUUUUCAAUUUAAGUAGCUUUUUGGUUGUUGUGGUUCAUGGUGAUAGGCAGUAAGGGUAAUGGUUUAAGAUUUCGUAAUUUACUCGUGAAAAUUAGCAACUAUUAUUGUGGAAGACUUCUUGGAUAAUUUUCUCAGUGCCGAGAAAGUAACCCACUUGAAGAUUUUUACCUUACCCUUAUGGCUCAUAAUGAGGCUUCAAGUCGGAAUCUUUGAGCAUCUUUACUAUUUAGCUGUUUCACUCUGAUGUGUUUCACACACAGAUUGUGUUUGGAAAUUUUUCCCGUUGUAUGAUUUUUCAUGUGAUGUAUAUUACGUAUUUGGAAUGUUUCUUGUUUGAAAUGUCGAAACUCAAUCUAUAAUAGUUGGGAUGUGGGAUAAGGAUUGAAAACUUGAAAUUAGAAAACUUGCUAAGAGUUUAAGACUUGAGUGACUUGAAGAUUGCUGAUCAGCCUGAGAAGAUGGAGCAGCCUGGGAGUCUAGCUGAUUAAGGCAAUAAUUAAAGGUAAAUUUAAGAUUUGAAUAUUCAUCUUGUUAGUAAAUAGGGUUAGGCAUCCUCAUCAAUUAAGCUGUUUUUAUUUUAAUAGAAGUCUAAAGCUUAUCCUUUAGUAUUUAUAUUUAGCUGGAAGUCUUACUGUAAACCUAUAUAAACACCACAUUUCGUUAAUAAAUUGCCGACGCAUAUUUUGCAAAAAGAAAAAAUGAUGGGUUUUUUGUGAUUCCAUUAAAAACCUGAAGAGGUUUAAUGUCCCUUUAAAACCCUACCAUUUUCUAGUACCUUAAUUGAUGAGGAAACACCAGCAGUGCUUGUGGCAAAAUACUCAAUGAACUGCUUUGGAAUGGAGGACAAAGAUAAAGCAUCCAACUUCACGAAUGACCAUAAUAGCUGGAUAUGCACCUAUCAUUCGUAAUUUAAUUAAUUGGUUUCUAUGCUAUUUGUAGAAACUAGAAACCCAUAUAUGAGGGAUUUAACUAUUUUAUUACUAACAACCUCUUCGGAUUUUGCAGUUUGUUUGUUAAAUUUGUAUGGAAGUAUGUAUCCACUUAAUAACAUAACUAUUUUCAUAUCCCUUUUAACGGUAACGUGUAUUAAAAGGGGGGAAACCAAAAACAGUUAUUCAGUUUAUUUGUCCAAAGCAUGUUCUUUGGAAGGAAAAAAUAAGAGGUUAGUUUCUGAUUAUGGUGUUUUGGCUAUCAUGAUGUUCCUUUGUUAAUUAUUUUAGGGGAAGCAAAUGUUAUUAAAUUGAUUUACAAGUCAUGACCAAACAAUAGAGGUGUUCAGUUAGACACCUUGGCUAUGAGUUUGAAUAAGCAGAGACAAAGUGAAAAUUCAACAAUCGGACAUAACUGUGAUUGUAUAGCAAGUUAAUUCAGAUGUCUUCUUCACUGUGCUCCAUGAUAGUUGCACCUUAGCUUACUAUGACCAAAUAUUAGUAUGUUUUGAACAUUUUCUUCUUGAUUAGGUUCUUACUUGAUCACUAGAGCUCUGUACAAUGUAGUGUGCUGUGAACCACCAACUCAUCAAGCCAUUUGGAAUGAAUGUCUUGUUAAAGAUAUUGUGCCUUGCAGUUCUAGCAGCAUUUCCUUUUUAUUCGUUCUCAACAAUGUGAUCAGAUCUAUAUGACCACUCAUAUUACACUUUCAAGGAAGACUUUGUUGCAAGUCAAGCCUGUGUAUCAACCACCGGUAACAGAGGUUUGGUUAUGGUUACGGUUACAUCUUCCAAGCAUUCUAUCAUGUGUGUAAGGGGGAGGAAAUGUUUGAAUGCUAAAUACUUUCUUCAUUUUUUUUUUCUUUUUUGGCUAUCUAUGACCGAAUGGAAUUUGUACAACUGGGACUUUCCCAAUGGUCGGAUGCCACUUCAAGAUGUGAUAGUUGAAUGAAUGUCAAGAUCUGGAAUAUAAAGAAACAAGGUCAGUGGCCAAAUACAUUGCUGGGAGGUGGAUCAGAACCAACUAUGCCUACAAGAAAAAAGGGAAAUUGGACAAAAAAUAUGGUGGAAAAGUGAGGGGAAUUUGGAGUUGUGGAUGCUGACUGGUUCUGGCUGUUCAAAGGGAGUUGUUUUGACUUUUUCGAGGACUUUGAAAGGCCUUGAGAUCAGAAGAUAGAUUGCUGACGCCUUCACUACUAGAACGUCAGUACAGAGAUUCCUACCCCUCCCCUGCGGGCACCAAGCCAGCAGAUAGUAGAGCACCAGGACUAGCAGCGAUUUUGUCCGAAUCUCAUAACUGAGGACACGCCACCGAAGAAAUUUAAGAGAUUAAGAAUGCAUUUUCUCAAAUUUUAAACCAGAAGCCAGUCUUGUUUCUGAUUUUAGUUAUAUGCUGCUGAUUCAAGCUCCCUUAUGGUACGAGGGCUACACUACAGAACUUUUCCAUGUUUGAGACUAACUCAUCAACAAGCUGAUAGUGAGAUCAGAAGAUCCAAGUUCCUUGUAAUUUUCCUUCAAAAUUAAUUAGUGUAAUUAAGAGAGAAAGAGACAGUUGCUGGGUUCAUUCUGAUAGUGGGCUCUACACGUGGGCAAUGUAAAAUAUAAUGGGGUUCCCAUGUUGCUUCCACUCUACAUUUGGAUUGGAAUGAACUGCAAAUGAUGUUUUACUCUUGCUUGUUGUGUAAUCUAUGGUGGGACCAAUGAAACUUCUUGCAUUGUCCUUAGUAAUGAAGGCUGCCUAAACUUGUUCUA